rnacentral:rRNA from 1 species
CGUCAAAUCAUCAUGCCCCUUAUGACCUGGGCUACACACGUACUACAAUGGUGAUUAACAGAGUGGACCGAAGCGGUGACGCGGAGGAAAUCACGAAAAAUCAUCUCAGUUCGGAUUGCAGGCUGCAACUCGCCUGUAUGAAGUCGGAAUUGCUAGUAAUCGCGAAUCAGAAUGUCGCGGUGAAUACGUUCCCGGGCCUU